rnacentral:rRNA from 1 species
GAUGAACGCUAGCGGGAGGCCUAACACAUGCAAGCCGAGCGGGAUUUGUUGGUUGGCUUGCUAACUAACAAUGAGAGCGGCGUACGGGUGCGUAGCACGUGUGCAACCUGCCUUUAUCUGGGGGAUAGCCUUUCGAAAGGAAGAUUAAUACCCCAUAACAUAUUGAUUGGCAUCAGUUAAUAUUGAAAGCUCCGGCGGAUAGAGAUGGGCACGCGUAAGAUUAGCUAGUUGGUGAGGUAACGGCUCACCAAGGCUGCGAUCUUUAGGGGGCCUGAGAGGGUGAUCCCCCACACUGGUACUGAGACACGGACCAGACUCCUACGGGAGGCAGCAGUGAGGAAUAUUGGACAAUGGGUGAGAGCCUGAUCCAGCCAUCCCGCGUGAAGGACUAAGGACCUAUGGUUUGUAAACUUCUUUUAUACAGGGAUAAACCUACUCUCGUGAGGGUAGCUGAAGGUACUGUAUGAAUAAGCACCGGCUAACUCCGUG